rnacentral:rRNA from 1 species
CAGUAGCCGCGGGAAUACGAAGGGGGCUAGCGUUGCUCGGAAUCACUGGGCGUAAAGGGUGCGUAGGCGGGUCUUUAAGUCAGGGGUGAAAUCCUGGAGCUCAACUCCAGAACUGCCUUUGAUACUGAAGAUCUUGAGUUCGGGAGAGGUGAGUGGAACUGCGAGUGUAGAGGUGAAAUUCGUAGAUAUUCGCAAGAACACCAGUGGCGAAGGCGGCUCACUGGCCCGAUACUGACGCUGAGGCACGAAAGCGUGGGGAGCAAACAGGAUUAGAUACCCGCGUAGUCCCUGUCUCUUAUAC